AUGAGGGUGAUGACGUGCUUUUUGUAGAACGAGCCAACGAGUUACGGUAUGUAGCAAGGUUAAGUACUUAAGGUACGGAGCCGAAGGGAAACCGAGUCUGAAUAGGGCGACUAGUUGCAUGCCGUAGACCCGAAACCGGGUGACCUAUCCAUGGCCAGGUUGAAGCGAGGGUAAAACCUCGUGGAGGACCGAACCACGUUGCUGUUGAAAAAGCAUGGGAUGAGCUGUGGAUAGCGGAGAAAUUCCAAUCGAACCCGGAGAUAGCUGGUUCUCUCCGAAAUAGCUUUAGGGCUAGCGUCGAGUAUGAGUAGUGGAGGUAGAGCACUGAAUGGGCUAGGGGGCAUAGCGCUUACCGAACCUUAUCAAACUCCGAAUGCCACAUACUUUGAGCUCGGCAGUCAGACUACGAAUGAUAAGAUCCGUGGUCAAAAGGGAAACAGCCCAGAUCGUCAGCUAAGGUCCCAAAGUGUAAGUUAAGUGGGAAAGGAUGUGAGAUUUCUAAGACAACUAGGAUGUUGGCUUAGAAGCAGCCAUUCAUUAAAAGAGUGCGUAAUAGCUCACUAGUCGAGAGAUCUUGCGCCGAAAAUGUAACGGGGCUAAACUUACCACCGAAGCUACGGGCUUGAACUUAGUUCAAGCGGUAGGAGAGCGUCGUAACCGGGCUGAAGUCGUACCGUAAGGAGCGGUGGACUGGUUACGAGUGAGAAUGUUGGCAUCAGUAGCGAGAUGUGGGUGAGAAUCCCACAGGCCGAAAACCUAAGGUUUCCUCAGGAAGGUUCGUCCGCUGAGGGUUAGUCGGGACCUAAGCCGAGGCCGAAAGGCGUAGGUGAUGGACAACUGGUUGAUAUUCCAGUACCACUACCAUCGUUAUUAUCGAUGGCGUGACGCAGGAGGAUAGUGUGUGCUAGCUAUUGGAUGCUAGUCUAAGCGUUUAGGCAGUGAGAGUAGGCAAAUCCGCUCUCAUAAUGCUGAGGCGUGAUGGGGAAGGUUCUACGGAACCGAAGUACAUGAUUCCACGCUGCCAAGAAAAGCGUCUAGAGAGAGAAGUAGUGCCCGUACCGCAAACCGACACAGGUAGGUGAGGAGAGAAUCCUAAGGCCGGCGGAAGAAUUACAGUUAAGGAACUCGGCAAAUUGACCCCGUAAGUUCGCGAGAAGGGGUGCCUACGAGAGUAGGCCGCAGAGAAUAGGCCCAAGCAACUGUUUAGCAAAAACACAGGUCUCUGCUAAAGCGUAAGCUGAUGUAUAGGGGCUGACGCCUGCCCGGUGCUGGAAGGUUAAGGGGAACACUUAGCGCAAGCGAAGGUGUGAACUUAAGCCCCAGUAAACGGCGG
rnacentral:rRNA from 1 species